UUUAUUGGGAUAGGGAGAGGUUAUGAAAGAGAACCCAUCGUCCCAGCCAAGAAAAACAAUGGACCUUCUUCAAGACAAAGAGAAAAAACCAAACGAAAUAAAAUAAUUGUCAAAAUAAAAAAUGCCUCAUGAAUUAAGGGAAUCAAGAGGGAGAAACAAUGGACCUUCCCCAUUCUCUCUCCUUCCUUGCCCUCCCCCAUAUUCUCUCUCCUAAAAAACGCAGGAGCCACUGCUCUCUCUCCCCGCCCCCUCCCCCUUGCAUUCCUCAUUCUCUCUCCUUCCUUGCCUCCCCCAUCCUCUCUCUCUCCUAAAAAACGUAGGAGCCUCUGCUCUCUCUCCCCGUCGCUAGGAGGUGCUGGUCUCCGCACCUGCACCGUCGCUUUGUAAAUGCUCUGCAACAACUCGGUGGAUCUCAGGGCUUGAAGAAUUAGGAUCAAGAAUUGGGUGAUUCACAGCUUACUCUGCUUAUUUUGAAUGGAGAACUGAAUGGGGUAGUGAGAGUAGAGCCUCCGGUUUGAAGUGUGGUGGUGAAGAUAUUUGGUUGCAAAGCCAUAAAGUAGAAGGCAUGAGAUCUUCUCGCUCAUGCUCAUGUAUUUUCAAGGCCAAAAAAUCUUCGUGAUAGAGGCAGAGAGGAACAAUGUUGUAAUCAUAUAAUUCGAAUUUGAUUUUUAUGCAAGCAAAGCUAAUGGAGAUCUCACUCACUCUCUCUCUAUCUUCAAUUUUAAAACAAUUGAUGUGUUUUAUCUUGUGCUUACAUGAAUAAAGGUUUUUUUAUUCAAUGGGAAGUUUUGACCA